GAUGAACGCUGGCGGCGUGCCUAAUACAUGCAAGUCGAGCGAACGGACGUGAUGUUCGCUUCUCUGAUGUUAUCGGCGGACGGGGGAGUAACAAGUGGAUAACCUACCUAUAAGACUGGGAUAACUUAGAGAAACCGUAGACAAUACCGGAUAAUCUUUUGAACCGCAUGGUUCAAAAGUGAGAGACGGCCUUGCUGUUACUUAUAGAUGGUUACGCGCUGCAUUAGCUAGUUGGUAAGGUAACGGCUUACCAAGGCAACGAUGCAUAGCCGACCUGAGAGUGUGAUCGGCCACACUGGAACUGAGACACGGUCCAGGCUCCUACGGGAGGCAGCAGUAGGGAAUCUUCCGCAAUGGGCGAAAGCCUGACGGAGCAACGCCGCGUGAGUGAUGAAGGUCUUCGGAUCGUAAAACUCUGUUAUUAGGGAAGAACAUAUGUGUAAGUAACUGUGCACAUCUUGACGGUACCUAAACAGAAAGCCACGGCUAACUACGUG
rnacentral:rRNA from 1 species